GUACAUGUAUCCACCUCAAUCCACAUGUGAUGAGUGGAUUGGAGUAAAACUUAAACUGAUUUCAACUCCGGUUCACCUCAAUACAUGUGGAUUGAUGUGGAUAUAUGU
rnacentral:pre_miRNA from 1 species